CGAGGAGAGGCUCGAUGGAUGGAGCCCGGGGCCGCCUUGCCCCAGGGCCGGGCCGCCCUGGGAGCGGGCCAGCCCCGGGGGACCCGGCGCCUCGCGGGGCGCACAGGGCCUGGCGGGACCGCGCUCCCGGGGGCGGGCGGGAGGCAGGAGGGAGCUGGCGCGCGGCCGGGGAGGGGACCCGCCGGGGAAGCCGUGGGGCGGGAUGUCAGCAGCUGCAAAACGAGCCCGCCUCCCUUCCCGGUAUCCUCGCGGCCACCCCGCGGAAGGUGGCGCCGCGCCAGGCGGGCACCAGAACCGGCGCAGCCACGCCCUGCCGAGGGUGCAGACAACCAAGGAGACACCUCGCGAACAAUCAAGUCAAUGGCCGAGUGAUGGCUUGGGCUUCAGAGCAGGAAGAGUUUGAACCCAGCUCGAUUAAGUACUGGCUGACCUAGGGACACACACACUGAAGUGUUUCGGGGGAAAGAGCCCUCAUGUCUG
rnacentral:lncRNA from 1 species